rnacentral:tRNA from 1 species
GGGUAGGUGGCGGAGUAGUCAAACGCAUCACUCUGUAAAAGUGACGGCCUCGUGCCUACGCAGGUGCAAAUCCUGCCCUGCCCA